AGGAUCUCUGUCUGUCAUGGACUUUCCUCAGGAUUAGAAAGGCACAAAAUCUGUUAAUGCCUCUCCCUGUGAGGAAGCCCAUCUGCAAGCAAGAUUUGGACACAACCCAGUUACAUUGGAGACCAAGAGAUUGGAGCCUAACUCAACAAAGUAGGACAUAGCACAAUGCACUGAGCUAGUGCCACAGAAUAUCUGAGUAUCCCACAUGUCCUGGAGAAAGAUCAACACCAAGCUGGUUGGAGAAGCCUUGCGUGCCUCAACUGGUGCAGUAAGUGUCAACUCAGCUUGCUAUCAGCCAUGGGAAUUUACAAGCUUUCCAACAAGACUGAAGAAAUCCAGGAAACCACAAUGACAGAUCCACUUGAAACAACCAUUUCAUGUUACUCUGACAGAUUUGCAGCUUCUUGGAUUUUUUUUUUUUAAACAUUGAGAAAAUUUGACUGAAGUUGGCUUAGAACAGUAAUGAGAUCCUGUUCAAAUGAAUGCUUUCUCUAAAGAUGUUGGAUUGUGUGCCUGUAAGUACCUGUAUGU
rnacentral:lncRNA from 1 species